rnacentral:rRNA from 1 species
GUAGCGAAAUUCCUUGUCGGGCAAGUUCCGACCUGCACGAAUGGCAUAACGAUGGCCACACUGUCUCCUCCUGAGACUCAGUGAAGUUGAAGUGUUUGUGAUGAUGCAAUCUCCCCGCGGCUAGACGGAAAGACCCCAUGAACCUUUACUGUAGCUUUGCAUUGGACUUUGAACCGAUCUGUGUAGGAUAGGCGGGAGCCUGUGAAACCACAACGCCAGUUGUGGCGGAGGCGUCCUUGAAAUACCGCCCUGAUUUGUUUGAGGUUCUAACCUGGGACAGUCAUCCUGUCCGGGGACCGUGCAUGGUAGGCAGUUUGACUGGGGCGGUCGCCUCCUAAAGGGUAACGGAGGAGUGCGAAGGUACGCUAGGUACGGUCGGAAAUCGUGCUGAUAGUGCAAUGGCAAAAGCGUGCUUGACUGCGAGACCCACAAGUCGAGCAGAUACGAAAGUAGGUCAUAGUGAUCCGGUGGCUCUGUAUGGAAGGGCCAUCGCUCAACGGAUAAAAGGUACUCUGGGGAUAACAGGCUGAUACCGCCCAAGAGUUCAUAUCGACGGCGGUGUUUGGCACCUCGAUGUCGGCUCAUCUCAUCCUGGGGCUGUAGCCGGUCCCAAGGGUAUGGCUGUUCGCCAUUUAAAGAGGUACGUGAGCUGGGUUUAAAACGUCGUGAGACAGUUUUGUCCCUAUCUGCCGUGGGCGCUGGAAGAUUGACGGGGGCUGCUCCUAGUACGAGAGGACCGGAGUGGACUCACCUCUGGUGUACCGGUUGUCACGCCAGUGGCAUCGCCGGGUAGCUAUGUGGGGAAGAGAUAACCGCUGAAAGCAUCUAAGCGGGAAACUUGCCUGAAGAUAAGUCUUCCUGGAGGCUAGACCUCCCUAAAGAGUCGUUCGAGACCAGGACGUUGAUAGGAUGGGUGUGUAAGUGCUGUGAGGCACUCAGCUAACCAUUACUAAUUGCUCGUGAAGCUUGAUCCU